rnacentral:lncRNA from 1 species
CCUUGGGCUUUGCCUUAUUCUGUGUAUGGGUAGUAAGUAAUUAGUGCAGCACUGAACGGAAAUGAAUUGUACUGAACGCCAGUGCUACCAAGUUCCACCCCCACUCAUGUUGAAUGGGAUUUGUUUGUUUGUUUUAAUUUUUUGUAGAGACAGGGUCUCACUAUGUUGAACAGGCUGGUCUCAAACCCCUGGCCUUAAGGAAUCCCCCUGCCUUGGCCUCCCAAAGUGCUGGGAUUACAGGCAUGAGCCACCACACCCAGGUUUAAGCUGAUUUUAAUGCUACCUUUAAUACAGAAGAGAAGAAAUAGGCUUUUCAAGAAUAAAAGCCCUCUUUCCCUCUAAAUAUUUCCAGAUUUGAGUUUUCUUAAAGUCGGUGAUAUUAAGUCAGCGACGGACUGCUAUGUCAGAAUAGGACAAGAUGAAAAUGUACCCUCAGUCCAAUCUGUAGUGGCCUAUACGAGAUGGGUUUGUAUAAUGGUGGUCCCUUUCUUUAUGGGGCUGUUUGUAAUAAGGCAAAGCCACUUUGGAUGAUGUAAUAUCCGGUCAUUUCCAUCUGCAGCUCUCACAUGGGUCCUGUAUAGUCCUGCAAAGAGAAAUAACAGUUCUUGUCUAGUGUUACCUCGAAAUAGCUUCAAAAUGUUUGCUGUUUUUUAUAAAAACUUCAACAAAUGUCUAUUGUGCACACGGCUAGAUCAUGAUUUCUGGUUUUGGUUUUGUUUUCACCUCAUUGUUGGUGGGUUCUCUACCCAGGCAGUAAAGUUUUCAUGAGCUUGAGCUCUAGAAUCAGAUAAACUGACUCUCACUUACUUAUGUGAUCUGAGCAGAUUAAUGAAGCUUUGUAAGCCUCAUUUGCUCAUUUGCAAAAUGGCAAAUAUUAGUAGUCCUUCACUUGGAAGGUUGUUGUGAGGAUUUAACACCUGUAAGGAGCUCGGCACUGGGCCUGGGAUUCAGAUAGAAUCCAUCAAAUAGUAACUGUUGUUAUAAUAAACAAGGACAUGUAUCAAGUCCUUAAAUCAGUUACAAGGAACCUAAAAGACUUUCUGCAGCGGUUGAGGGAAUUCUAACACCACUUCUCUUUUCAGCUCACUUCCUUUCUUUUAUCAGCACAUGGAAUUACAUGGCUGUUCUCACCAGCGUGCAUGUUUGUAAGCAGUCUACAGCUCAUGUUGUGAGGGCACAAGAUGGAAGAAGGUCAUGAAACAGACAGAGUGACCCUAAUCCAUAUAGAAAUGACAAAAUAUUCAUGCAGAACCUAUCACUCUUUAAGACUCUAAUGAAAUUCGGCUGAAGGAAAUUACAGUGUGUGAUAAAUGAUAUUGCAUG